CGAGUUACUCGACGCAGCCGACCUCAUCGUCUUCUCCGUUCUCCCUCUCCGCCUCUCGAGCGUUCCAACGGCGGCUUUUUGGAGGUUGCGAUUUGUUGGGCAGCGGCGGCGGACGGCGACCGGCGACGGACGGUGAGUGGGCGACGGAGGCGUUCGGUUUCUCCCUUCGUUGUUAGGGUUCCUCUUCCAUCGCAUUUUACAAGAUAGCAACCGGCGGCUGUUUUCCGGCGACGAGAAGAUACGCUGCCUGUUUUUCCCCUCCACCAUCAGCAAUCAAGUUCCAGGAUUCGGUUGGAUUUCCCUACCGACUGCAGAACCAUCAAGGAGAGAACUAUCCAAUUUAGGCGUUUUCCCCAAUCUUGAACGAAUUCGCCCUAGUGGAUGCAAAAAGGUGUAAUUUAUUCUCAUUUUAGUUUUCUUUGUUAUUCUGAGUUUCUUGUUUGUUGGUUAAUUAAAAAGAUUUUUGCCUCAUAGCUCUCUGUAAUUGUCUUUACAACAAUUUUGAUUUCCUAGAAUAAGAACUGCAGACCUCUUGAGUAAGGAGGUGUCGAGCUUGUUUGUUGGUUAAUUGAUCUUCUUAUUAUAGUGGUUUA